CAGCGGGAAGAUUCGGAGGAGCGCUUUUUUCCCCUCAGGAUCAGCACUCCAUUGAGGAUCUACCUGAAAUAAGAGCAACUGUAGGAGAGAUUGUGGUGGAGAUGAACGCACUAAACCCUACAAAUAGCGAAGUGGUUCACCGUGUACUUUUUCAUCAAAGUCAUGAAUGAAGAAGCCAAAUCGCUUGCGGCACCACGUGUUUUCCUGUGUUUCUACCAUUGGGCUGGGGGGAGAAUUCAGAAGGCACAGGGGGAAUGAAGGAAAAUGGAAGAAGGAGUGUCAGAGCCUUUCCUGCUCCCUUCAACACUCCAGUAGUGAGGAGGCUGGAGGUGCACAGGAAUCUAGGAGAUGACACAGCUGGGAAAGCUGACCCAAACUAACCCAAGGGGUAUUCCAUAUGAUGUGGUGUCACAUUCAUCAUAAAAAGCUAGAGGAGAUUUGGGGGCGGGGGGAGAAGGUGCUGGGCAUUAGUUGCUUAAAUUUGUGUAACUUUUCUUUUUUGGGGUUUAUUUUAUUUUUAAAUUUAUUUUAAAGUUUAUUUAUUCACUGACCUGCAAUCUGUUCUAACCCCCUCUUCUCUAAUAUCUCAUGAGUGGGAAAACUGGUGUUUUUCAUUCCCAGUUGCUUCCUGGUCACAUUCAGCUUGUGAUUAACAGGACCACAACACACAGAUGAACCACACCAAUGAAACGCCUACCUGGCUUUAGGCUGCUUGACACAGACUAACCUUGGGCUAGAGACUGCUACAGGCAAAUAAUGCCUGGUAAAAAUGUUCAGAAUCAACUUUUCAAAGUCCAAAAUAAGAGAAAGAUAGCCCAUAAGUCUUUGCAGGUGUGCAAGAAGUAGAAGGAAGACAAAUCAUCAUAAAAGCAACCAUCAGGGCUCUCUCUUAAUAUGGAUUGUGGAGCUGGACAUGAAAAAAGAGAACAUUAGGGGACAGAAACUGAGAGGCAACUAUACCCAAAUACAUAUAUAGACUAAAAACAGCUUGCAAGACAUUUUAUGGGUACCAUAUGGCAAGAGUACCACUAAACAGAAAGCUAGAGACACCAGGGGAGAAGCUAUCCUACUCUUUUCACCAAACAUAGGCAGGCAUGAGCCACAAUGCCCCAGUAUUAAAAGUGCCUUUUGAAUCUAUUUUGUUCCUUCUGAUGGAGGGGGGGUUCUAAAAAGAAUAAUUAAAAAAAAAUCAAACCAGGAUUUUUAGAGACCCAUUAAAAGGAGCAGUAAGAAAUAGAAUAGCUUAAAGAAAAACUGAAGCAAACAGAUUAGCUUCAGAUAUCCUUCAAAAGCAGACAUCACAGUUCUCCAUUUAUACUAAGAAAAAAUUCUUAAAUAGAAUAAUAGAAUAUAUGGAGUUAGAAGAGACCCAUCUGGAUGAUCAAAUCCAACUCCUGGCCCUACCCAGCACUAUUCCUGACUGACACCAUGUGCCUGAGAGCAUUGUCCAAACACUUCUUGAACUUUGUUAGGCUGGUGCUGUGACCACUUCCCUGGGGAGCCUGUUCCUAUGCCCAGCCACCCUUUGGGUGAAAUACUUUUUCCUAAUAAAAUCCCAAUCUAAACCUCCUGACUCAGGUUCAUGCUGUUUACUCAAGUCUUGUCAGUGGUCAUGAGACUGAUCAGAACCUUCCCCUUUGCUUCCCCUUUCACAAGGAUGUUUUGGACUUCAAUAAAGACUCCCCUCAGUCUCCUUUACUCCAGACUGAACAGACCAAGUGACCUCAAGCUGCUCCUCAUAAAUCUUCCCCUCUAGUCCCUUCACGAUCCUCGUUCCUCUCCUUUGAUGCUCUCUAAUAGCUCAAUGUCUUUUUUCUGUAUUUCUGUGACCACUGGAAAAAUGCAUCAAUCUUCACACAGGGCCAAACUUCUCUUACUGGGAGAGGGGAAACAGUCAGAAACUGUCACUGGGCAUCUGGGAAGGCUGGGAUUUUUCUGGCUCCAUUUCUCAAUACCUAUAGUUAGAUUUAUUCCCUCAGAGGCCUUUACAAGGGACCAUCAGGAAAGCAUAAUUAGUGUUAUAAGAGGGGGAAGAGGGUGUGCAGGUAGUGGACAGUCCCUUGUCACCUUUUAGAUUGUAUUACAAGGAAAAGCUGUAAGCUGUAACAUAAAGGGUAUUACAAAUAAAUUGCCACAUUUUACUCCUUCAAGAUGAGAUUUAUCUUCUGAUGGAAAAAAAAAACCUGGAAAGCAUGGUGUUUGCAGACAAACUACAGAAUUUUGUCUUAAUGCUUCUGUUGCUGAGCUGUAGGUGCUGUAGCUGGGUUACUGGUGUCAUGUUAAAAGGGAACAUGUACUGGUGCUGAGGCUGCAGCUUAGCAGUCCCUGCUCCAGAGGGACAGAAGCACAGCAGAGCAGACUUCUUCAGCUCUGCUGGUAAGAAAAACCUGCUUGUGCUGCUGCUGUUUUGUAACUCCAUUUGUCCUGUGGCUCCUGGGGAAAAAGUCCAAAGGGUGGAAGGUCGCCUCCUGGAGAACAGCAGCAGGAAAUGAUGAGCAGGAAGUAGCAGGGUAUGGAAGUGAAGUGCUGUGCAGGAAUGGAAUACAGUCUCUGUCACAGAUUGGAGGCAUUGCACCACGGGCCACCCAGAGUCCAGCCUUUUGUCACUGAUGUCCUUACAGAAUCAGGACUGCAUUGCUAAAUCCUGGAUAAGAGCAGCUUCCACAAGCAUAUGAUGGUUUUCUCAAUUAAUUCUAAAACAGCCCCAACCCCAAAUCACAGUAAUCUUAUAAUUUCCAAAGCCAUUACAAGCCUAAUGAAGAUGAGAUUGUGAGAUGGUCACCUAAUUGCUUACAACAGUAAAUCCCAUUAGAAGUGAGGAAGUUUUUAAGUUAGUCUUGGACACUAAAACAGAUUCUAAAAUAAUAAUUAUCCAGCAUGAGCUGGUUCACAUGCAGAACCACAUUUUUAGCUGAUGUCAUUACCACAACUAGAAAUUUAAUAUAUAAUUAGUUAAUAUAUAAUUCUGUAUCUUCAAAGUUACUACUUACAGCUUUUUUACCACCCUUCUUUCCAGUAACAAAAGGCAACUCUUUAUCCUGUAUGCCAAGUCUUUUAUUUGGAAAUGGAAUGCAUAAAACAAUGACUUGAACAGGAAAGUCUUGCUCAUCUUAAAACUUAAAAUGUUCUAAUUUUAUAUGCUUUAUGACUAUUGUAUGGAAUAUCAUGAGGUCAGUGUCAAGAAAUGCAAGACAGAAGACCAAGACACUCACAGUAUGUAAAGGUGCAAGAGAAAUUUUUCAACAGCUGUGUACAAAAAGGAGCAAUGAAACAUCAGAAAUAUCCAAAUACAGUAUUCUGGACUUUGAGAAGCUACUCUAGAGGAACCAAUGACUUGGUUGUUUUGAAAUGGCACAAAAAGGGAACAUGAUAUAUGCAUUCUUUAUAUCAGGAAAACUUUUCACACACAUUUAACUUAAUGUGAAAUAUUAGUUUGCUUAACAGUAAAGAGCUCAUUCCAAACAAAUUCAAAACAGGUACAAGAUACAGCAAAUGCAGCCCCAGCUUUGCAUAGACUUACUUAGGUGUGUUUAAUGCUAAAGUCAGUAAUCUGUAGUUACAAUUAACAGCAUAAAGAGACUUCAACAUUAACGGGAGAUAAAUAUUCAAGACUCCUUUCCAUUGCCAGCAGUGUGUAAGGAGGACUUCAGUACGGCUGUAGUCUGUAGCAGAACACAACAGGCAGGCAAACUUCUUUAUCUUUUUAGGACCCAAAUUUAUACGUUCAGAUUUUGCAGUACCAGAACUGGAUAAAAUCCACUUCACUAAGGAGUUACAGACCACAGGAGCUGACCUGUAUGAAUAUUUUCAAUUCAUGACAAAUUGAGGUUAAACAGUCUUGCACAAACAGCAUGCAAUUUAAUAAACUUAAGAAUCAUUAUGGUUUAUUUGUAAACUUACUGACCAAAGCAAAACUAGAACUGGAAACUAGAAUUCUGCCUUUUGGAUUUUAAAAAUUGUGUUUUAUUUGCUGCUGAAAGGAAUGCACUCUGUAUUUCCCUUACUGUUACUGAGAAACUUGCUUUUAAAAAUCUUUGAAGAUUUUGAAUUUAAAAUUUUUACACAAUUUUUAUAAGUGGUUUCUAGAUAUAGCUGUGGAGUUUUGAUUUUGGUAUAAUAAUUCAACCUAAUAAUUUUUUACAAAUUUGAAAGAAACAGACCAAAAUACCUCAUUAAAGAAUUUCAUUCCCAUGGAAUACAGAUUUUAACUUGAAAGGUAUGAAUUGUUCUUUACCAGGCUAUUUUUUUUUCCUCUGUAUCGUGUAGUUUGUUGAACCUGUACUUAUGCAAAAUAAUUCUAUUUGAAUGAUCUGUGUUUCAUCUAAAAAAUAGGAUGGGACAGGGAGGGAAGAGGAAAAGACUGAGGAAUUAUUCCCUUUGAAACACGACAGAAUUGGCCUAGUAGGUCACCAUGGAACCACAUGAUGAAGAAUUUAAGAAGUGUUAAGAGACUUUCCCAGCAUGUAACAAUGAUUUGCAUUACAUGAAUACCUGCUAUGCAAGAAAUCAGGUUUGUCAACAAUGCAGAAGAAUUUCUAUAAACUCACAUACAUAUUGAAAGAAAUCAUGUUACAGUUUUUUCAUACCUUCAUUCACUUUAAGAAACUGAAACCCUCUGCCAUAUUGUAGACCAAGAACGUGGCAGAAUUUGAAGUUUACCAAUGCCAUCUAUCUUAUCCUAUAUUUCCAACAAUAUAUAUUUUUUAGCUAGGAAUUCACAAUUUCUACAAUUUCCAUUAUCUCCAUUAUCAAAUGUCAAUGAUUUGUAAGUAGAAUAUAAUCCAAUAUUAUACCAUUUAUUUUUGACAGCCCACAGUUUGGCAAUAAUCCUUGAUUCUGCUGUAACACAGUGUCUUGUUUUUUCAGUUUUCAUAGCCUUGUGGCACAGGCACCACAGUUUCAGUUCAUGAGUUGUCUUAAAAACACAGAUUUGGAUCUUAAUUACAAUGGUCAGGAUGCUUAGAUUUUCACUGAAGAGAAGCUGAAAUGCAGGAAGUUUAUAUAAUGUCAUCUGGCAGACUGUAGACCUUAUGAGGACGAAGAGGGUCUUGAAAGAGGAGGGUAUCAAAACUAGAUUUUGGCAAUAUAGAAGGUGUAUUGUCCAUGUAGUUCUGUCAUAAGCUUUAAAAAUACUCUUAUUAAAUAAGUUUUUCCUUCCUUAAGACCAGGUAAUACACAAAGCGAGGAAGAGUCCAGGGGUCAGAAUCUUCUUCAGUUCUUAGUUAUUCUCUAUGAGCUUUUUUCUUUAAUUUUUCUUCGUAAGAUUCUCCAUACUCAUUUACUCUGCUCUUAUCCACAGGAUAAAGCCUGAUAGAAAAAAACCAAAUCUUUAGUUGCAUUACAGCCUCCUAUCAGAAGGAAUUAAGUAGUUCUGUGAUGCUUAAUUUUAGAAGUUAAUUUCUUUGUCAUCAUAUUCUCUAUUCCCAUUUGUGGCAAAACCCAGCAUCUUUAAAGAUUUGUACAGACAUAUCAGCUUUUUCACAAUAUGACUCAACCAGUUGUCUCAUAACAGAACCUCUUAAGAGAUGUAUUAGCUCCCUUAAAGCUUGGCUGGAGUCUUUUCUCAAGCAAUCCAGGACAUCUCUCAAACUUGAAACCAGUGCCCAGCCCCUAUCAGAAACUGCUGACCACUUAAUUUCUACAAGAAUAACAAUAAACAAAAAUGCUUAUUCUGGGGAACAAAAAUACACUUUCUGUAACUUCACUAUGAACAGUAUUUCACAAGUAGUGCAUAUAGCUUUCUUCCCUAUCUGAUUUUAGUUACUCAAAGAAGCUGAAACUCGACAGGUACUCAACUUACAAGAGAACCUGAUAACUUGUUUUUGCAAACCAGGUAAAGAGAAAGGCAGAGCAGGGCAGUCCCCCAUCACACAACACCCUUCACUACUGCCCUGAGAGCACCUUGGAGAACAUACCUCAGACACUGAGAAUAUGGAGAUGUGGCCCUCAGCAAGGGUUAGAAGCCCAGAACUGCUAAGGUUCAACCACUGAAUUCGUUUCAUCUCUCCUAUCACCAACUGGCCCUCUGAACAUCAAUGACAGCUUUCCUCCUCCUCUUCUGACUGACAUGUAUGCAAGCUACUGAAUUCUAUGCUACAGUAAUUAUCAGGUAACCUGUGAGAUACAACAGCCUGUUGCCUAGAGGAUGUUAAAAAAACAUCUAUAUUCUUCAGCUUUAGAUAGACAGGACAAGGAAGUUUCCAGUUCCUGCCUAUGCAUCAAGCUAACCACCAACUUCCAUAACCAUGGAGAAAAAAUGGGGAAUGUUUUAAUUCCACAUGAGAUCAUUUAUAGAGUUACAGUACCUUUUGUAUUUAACAUUCAGCAAGGAGUAACCUGCACCUCCAAUACACAGUGGAUAGAGCAAAUACGACAAGUAUUUCAUAGCCUAAUGGAGAAGAAAAAUUGUUAGUUCACAUUGUAUAUGAACAGAUUUUUCAUGCCAUUAAAUAGCCAUGAAAAGAAGACAGUCACAUAUUUUUUUCCUGAUAAUCUUUUCCUAUUCCCACAUGUAUGCUAUAAUUUCUACAAUGCUUCCACUUCUAGUGGUGGUGGUGAAAAUUCCAAAGGCCAAUUCAGACAAGCAAUCACCUCAGAGCGUUGGCACCAAGAGACAGCACAAAGAUCAGUCUCUAAAAGUAGCUUCCUACUUAACACCGAUGUUGUCAUCUAUGCUCAACUCCUUUCAGAAAUCAGGAACCAUGUGAACUUUCCCUCACUAAAAAUAACAGCUUUCAGUAAAAAAAAAAAAUCAGCUUUUUUUCAGUAAAAAUAAUCAGCUUUCAAAUUUUUGAGUGGUAAUGCCUCUCAGACCAAUGCUUCAACCAGAUUCAACAACCAAAAUAACUAUUUCACUGUUUCUUUUCAUAAAUUAUCAGAAUGAAUCUUCACUGUCUGAUCAUCUAUACAAUGAUCCACUUGACAACUGUGAGGAUGUGGAAAAUACACUUGUAGAAAAAAAGAGCAAAACAAGUCAAUCAACAGGUGACGUACACAGACUUUGUAGAUCGGAAUUCACAGGAUUCUCUCUUACCUGGGCAUCAUAUUCCUCGGUUUUCUUUUCAGAGUCAUUGUAUGCACCAAACUGCAACACACAGGAAAACCACAAUCACAUCAGAACACAGGGGAAAGCAUUUGCUCUCCAACUCUCUACAUUAAACAGGUUUGAAACAGCAGAAUUCACAAAGCAAAAGCAAAGUCAAGUAGCUAGAAAUUUGUCAGAUACAGGAAGCAUUUAUGAAAAGCCAUAACCAUGAAGAGGUCAUGGAUUAUCAUUGUUAUGAUUAUCUCCGCAUGUCCAGAAAUUCUGCCUGCCUCAACACGGUUCCUUGACAUAGGAACAAGCAGAGCCACCAGUCACUCCAGACACAGACUUUAAGCAGCACAAAACCUCAGCACUUCUUGUGAAGAAACACUGGAUAUUAGACAACUGAUUCUUCCACCAGCAAGAUAAAUUUUCAGUGUAGACUACACUUUGCUGCUGCAUGUUCUGCAAUCUCAGCACUUCAUUUUACCCAGAGAAUCAUCUAAGAGUGUACUGUCCCCAGAACAUGCCACAUCUUCUGUUAGUUUCACAAUGGAGAAGUUAUACCUACAGGUUCAUGAAAAAGCCAGUUUCUUAUUUCAAAACAUUAUGUCACUUAAGGGUGUCUUUCCAACACAGUGGCAGCAACAGAGCCUCGCCUAUAAAGAUUUAGCAGAACUGACAGAGAAGUGCUGAAGUUUCUUGCAACAUAAAUACAUACAAAUAGCUGCUUCUAAAGAACUCAAAGAAAGAAACAGGUUUGCAAAUGCUCAUCCUGCUAUUGGAUUAAGCCAUUCAUAGAGAAAUGUACACAGGAAACUUUUGUAAUUCAAAAAAAAAUCUUAAUUUCCUAGAAGUCAAGUUGCACAGUAACCUGGAAAUAGAUGGAUGACUCAAGAGUGUAAUCAUUAACAGGGCAAUGUCUACUAUACCUGAAAUUUGGGCCUCAAACCUUGCCACUUGAUUGUCAUUUUCAAGGCCUUCUUCACCUUCCAGAGCUGUGAUCAGCAAAAACAAAAAAUGCACAUAAAAGAUUAUUAUACAAAGGAACAUCUUAUGAAGGACUCAGAUAAUUAGAAUCAAGAUUCCAGAAUACCUGUUUUAACCAACCAUUGCAUAAAGCAGCCACAGCCUGAUUGCAGCACACACUGCCUGUGUCUACACAAACCAAAUGCCAUGUCAUCAAACAAGUACAAUGUUGUGAGCCUGCACUAUUAAGUCUCUUUAUCAGAUUAUGCAAUUUAAGUAAUGUAGUCAUUCCAGGAUAUCUGAAUGGCAGUGCCUAAGUGGGGUUAGCACCAAGAUGAACCCCAGGUAAGGCAUUUGGAAAAUUCCUGUAGUCACCUACCAAGCAAGUUUUUAUGUGCCUUCAAUGAAGGUGGUUCAGAACUCCUAACAGUGAUUAAGUUGGCACUUAAAAGGUCAUUACAUUUCAGAAGUGGACUACAAGCAAAAAUCAGUGAAUCUUCUGAAUUAUGUGGUUACUUACUGUACAGCUGAAACAGCCUGACCAUAAUGUAAACCUAAAGUUUCAGUUCACCUGAAAAUUUACUAAUGUACCUACACUGCUAUACAGAUGUGACAACUUAGGCAAUGCAGGUCCCCAGGAGAGCUGAACUCCCUGAAGCUUUUUGUGGACAAAGAUUAAUUUACUUGACUUUAGAUACACCAAUAUUCUCUCCUCACCCUACCAUAUAUUCCAGACAAAAAAAAGGCAAAAAAAAAAAAGGGGGAAUAGUGUAAAGACAAUCUUUUACUGUUAUCUUUGGUACAAAUGAGAAAAUAAUUUCUUACAGAAUCAGUGUCACUAUCAGCACUGCAUGAGAAACAGGAGUUAAGCCCAAGUUGGGAAAAAGUUCUUCCUAGCAGACAAAUUCCUAUGUACUGUCCGUAUGACUGCUGUCACUUUGAGACAGCUGUGCUACCUGCAAGCCACUGACGAGAUGCAGACUUGUGGAAUCAUGCACACAGGCAGCAGUCUCCUCCUUUUCCUCCUUCCCCAAUCACCUCAGUCCUGGCACUGUCUGUGGGCACACAGCCUGCUCUUUGACAUGCUUCCAAUGCAGGUUUGUUGACAUGGUUAUACUUGCUUGGCCAGGAGUGAGGCCUACUGGGUGAUGUGGUAAGUGGAGCUGCAGCAUCGCUCUGUGUUUGGUUUCUGCAAUAUCAGCUGGACCAUCCCAAAAAAACUGAUACUUCCAGUUUAGUUAUUUGAUCAAGGGACACCAUCUCCUCUGUCACUGAAAGCCAAGGACAUGCAAGCUACAGUAGAAUUUUCCAGUAACUAGUUUAGCAUUAGUUUUCUACUGUAAACUAUGGAUGUUGCUACAAAUACUGGUAUCUGGUGCUACAGCUUUAAGAACUCACCUCAAUCACUGCACCAACGCCUGCAGGGAUCAGCACCAAUAAACUUGUUUGUUCAUCCAAAAGGAAAAGAAAUAUUACCACAGUACUAAAGCACCUCCAAAGCACUAGACAGAAAACAUGAAAAUGGAAGGCUUAUUAAUAUUUAAAUGAACAGCUGAGAUGACAGAACAGUAAUGGUCUAUUUGGUGCAAUUCUGUCUUACACAAUUUAAAUAUGAAUUUCUUCUGUGUACAUCUUGAUAUAUCUAGUAGUCCUAGAAACAGCCAGUGAUCUCUGGGCAAAUAGGGAACAAGAACAUUUCAUGCAAUCCUUAUCACAGGAGAUGAAAGAAAAUUGGAACAUUUAAUGAAGACUUCUGUACUGAAGCAAUUCAGCAAUAUAUGAGUACAAUUGGGAACUACAUUCAUGAUUUGUGUCUCCAGGAAGCCGAAAGACUGUGAGAUAAUAUAAUAUCCGGAUUUAAAUUCAUUUAUUGUUUGUAAAUGUUAAGUCUUUUGAAUUUGACUUUCCCAAGUUUUGAAACUGGCAAUUGACUCUUAUUUCUGAAAUUCCAUGGACUGUUUUGACUUUUUACAAACUUUUUGGCAUUCACAUGCCAACAGCAGUAAAACUGCUGUAAAAAAACAAAUGCACACAUAAAAAUGAUACAUGGAUUCUCCAUGUGAUAAAAAUAUGUUGUUCAUCAUAACAUGGAAUGCCUUUUAUUUCCCCCGGUAUUGAUAUUCCUUACAUGUUUUAAUCCAUCUGUAAAUAUGACAGAAUUAGGGAUAGUCUCAGAGGUCAAGCAACUCCAGGUUUACAAUUUUGCUUCAUAAUCAAAACUGGAAAAAAAAGCUAUUGGAAAAACUUUCAUCUGUUUCUAGGAAGGCUUGGCAGGAUGUCAGAUCACCAUGUUUCUCACAUCUUUCCUACACACAGAUCAAGUCAAUCCUCCCAUGCUCUCCCCCUCCCCCCACCCCAGGAGCCUCUACUGCUCCUGUUUACAUCGAAGCCCACAUCAAGCAAGAGCAUUACAAUACAGCACUUUCCACCCACAAAUAUUUUGGAACCUGUAGUUAUCUACAAGGAACACAAGGGACUUGCACAACAGCAUUACUCAUGAAAGCACAUUCUCUCCACCCACAGAACUUUUUUCUGGUCUUCAUUCUUUUUUCAGAGCACUUCUCUGUUCCUUCAGCAAGGAAAAACAUGGUAACUGACCCAACAUUAAUCUAAUUCCCAAUUCCAUGACAGUCAAACCUCACUAGUGACAGAAGUGCUUAAACUCAAGUGAAACCUGAGCACAGCACUAACAAAGUUAGAAAUCAUCUGUGUAUAGCAUUAGCCAUCUCUUUGUACACAAACCAUUUUGCUAUCUCUGUAAACCUACAAUGUCACCUUAAGCAAGACUGAAAACGCACACCAUAAAAUAGACAGCACACAGACAACACUUUGCGUUCUAGUCCAUACCUGCUUUUGUAGACAUCCCAAUCAUGCUCCUCUUUUUCUUCCAAAAACUGAUGUCAUUUUUAAAUGCAAGGAAAUCAAAGAGAAGCUGCAAAUAGGAAGAAACAUACUCAUUUGCUUGAAGCAUACACUAAUUAGAGACUGAAAAUGUUAACAAUGCAUUCAACAUGGUAUUAAAAAGCCCCUGUUUUAGAAACUUCAGAAAUGAAAAUUAAGACUCACAAAUAAAAGCUAAAAAGAAAAGUUUUUGUAGAAGCCCAGGCUCUAAAAGCAAUGCAAAAUGACAGGAUGAAUUUCAAAUAUUACCAUUACAGUGCUGCAGAGAUUAGUGUUCUGUAAAGCAAGUCAGAGACCCAAUAGAGGGUAACUCAUCAUAGAAGGUAAAGAAUGAGGACCCUGAGGAACCACACACCUCGAGAGAUCAGGGAAAAGCAUAGUAAAUUAAACUAAAAAUGCUCUGUAUUGGAUUGAUAGUCAAUUUACAUUUGGAUAAUAUGAAAAUUUUAGAAAAAAAAGUCCUACAAUACAGGAAGUCAGGUUUCCUCUGUAUUUUGUCACUAAGCUAUCUAAACUUCCAGGACAUUUUAGAAUUCAAUUUAUUUGUAGGAAGCUUUUUUAUUUUCCUCAGUAUUUUCAUUCAGUAUAGUUUUGGUAUUUCCUUUAAGCCUUCAUUAUCUAAAAAAAAUUGAAUUUCAGAUUCACAGAUUCCAGAAAUUCUUGGGUCAGUAGAUUUUCAUGAAAUUUUCAGUUGCUUUUUCUGGGGUUUGUUUGUCUAUAGGAUGGAUAUUUUUUUAAUUAUUUGGGAAAAUGAUACACAAAAGAAAAAAGUAUCAGAAAAGCUUCUCCCAGUCUACAGACACUUUGCAACCUGAUAAACAGAGUGGAAAAAUGAAAUUAAUAUACCAUGGAAUUCUAAGGCUUUCCAAACAAGUUAACUGUGUGCAAUGAAAGUAUAAAGAAACAUAACAUUCCAGGCAAGUUCUUAUCUCUCCCAGAGUAUGGGAACUGUGUUGAGUAUAACUGUAGAUUACAGAAACGUUCCCAGUGUAUAAAAAAUGUUGUUUAUUAAAAUCAAGAUUCAGAUUGAGCCAGUGCCAAAAAAGGGACACACAACAACAAAAAAUAACCAUGAGUGCUCCACACUUUACAGGAACGUUUCUGGAAACAAUUUCAGAAAAUAUCAGCUGAUCCAGGGAUUAGAAGUCAGAGACUCAAACCCUAGUACAGGUGCCCCACCUAUAUCCCUGCAGUGCUAAACCUUGUGAGAAUUCAACAAAAUUUAAACUAAUGUUUACAGGCAUUUUAAUUCUAGGGGCUUUGGUUCAACUACAAUGUAAAAAAAGUGAUAAUGAAGGUAAUUUUUUAUAUUUCAGUCAAGACUUCAGUCAAGACUUAUUUUCUGUAUAAUUAUCUCAAAUUUCUGCCCUAUUUAAGGUCUUCAUAUUAACUCUGUAUUGGAAAUAUAGCUGACUUUUGUACCAGAUAAUUCUUCCACUGCUCUACUGAAAUUACUGUUUUCAAGAAUAAUUCUUAACAAAUGGAACACCUGAAAGUCAGACACACAUCUCCAUUUUUUUUCCCCAUAUUAUGUACUUCCUAAAAACUAAAACCACUUACAUGGAACGCUGCUACGAAGAAUGUCAAAGCCAGAAAGUACAAGUUAGUAUCAACAAAAAUUCCUUUUACUUCAUCUGCAUCCUUUUCUGAAAACCCUAUGAAAAAGAACAAGUCACUGUGCAAGAAGUACCUGAUAGUUCAUUGCUUUUAUGCUCAAGUCCAGUAUGAAAGGAAUCUUAUGUCACCUACACAACUCUUGUUAAGGAAUCAUAAAUCCAAAACAUGAUGGAAGUUGUAUCGGUGAAAUCCUUAUCUACCUAUAUUUUGGUAAGUUAUUUGGCUUGCCCAAACCCAAAACUCAUCAGUUACAAGUCUUUAACUUAUGUAAUUACAAUGUGUUUUGUAACAAGCUUUUAACACCUUGUGUAAUUACAAGCUAAGCUGACCACCUGACAGACAAAUGGGAAGACACAUUAAAUCAUUUUGGCCUGAGCUGGAAGUAAAAAAAAAGGUUUUACAAAUUGGCCUCUGAACUUUAAUUUGAUACACAGGAGUGAGCUUCACAUCAAAAGCUGAAAAAUAAGAAAAAGACUACACAGUAAAGGACAACAAAAGUCACUGAGAAACAUGGCCAUAGAUGCAAUGCUAUAAUUGAAGUCCACAGUUCUCAGAAAAUACACAAUGCUGCGUUUAUGGCAAUAGUGCUUGAGUGCAGCACCAAGUUACUCGCUAUCACAGCAAGUACUUGGCCAUUCUCAAGUGAUUUUGGAGUUUUGCUACUGAUCUGACUGCUCCAGGAAUUAUUCCAAAAGGAAAAUUUCAAACCUUAUGUUCCACUAUCUACAUACAUAGGGGGAACGAACAGCAUCUUACACAGGCCUUUUUUCCAGGCAGAGGAGGUACUCUUGGGAUGAGGGGUCUUGAUAUCUGUGUCUAUCACACAACAACCAAGGCAUGGAAUAUGAAAAUUUCAAUUCUGGGGAGGCUCACAAAAAAUUAUGGAGAGGUGAUGGUGGACACAUGUCCUAUACAAACUCUGAACAAGCAAUUACUUGAUUCUUUCAAGACAGUUAUGUUUAGCAGACAUAUUUCUAGCUUUUACACACAUUAGCCUGAGCUAAGGAGAAGCAGCUGGAUUUUACUCAGUAUGGCCUGCCUGUAUUUCACUGCAGAUAUAUGGCUACAGUGAGCAGCUGUGUAUACAUUAUACAAAAGUAUGAAGUAUAUGUAAAAACUAUAAGUAUAAAGUAUAUACAUCAAAGCCUAUGUACCACUGAUCGAACUUUUCUGUUCCUUGGAUGACAGGGGAAACCCAUGGUGAAAAUGCCCUUCUUGAUUAUGUCCUCUAAUGCUUUUACAGAGUACUAUCCCAAAUAAAAUUAAUUUUAAAAAUGGUUAAUUCACCUCUGUAUUUUUGUUCCCUGCCACAUGUCAACAUAUGCUUUUAUUUUUAACUUAAGGUGAAACAACACGAGAUUUGUAGCAUUAAAUCUCUUCACCAGCUAUCCAGAAAAAAAAAUGCAUCUAUGUGCAUAAAAGAAACAAAUUAAGGGGUUAGUUGUGGUUUCUUAGCCUAAAGUCACUAAAGGUAAGCAUACCAAAUU